rnacentral:tRNA from 2 species
GGGGGUGUAGCUCACCUGGCUAGAGCGCUAGCAUGGCAUGCUAGAGGUAACGGGUUCAAGUCCCGUCAUCUCCA